CUGGACCUCAGACCAGAAGCAUCCUGGGAGCUGGUCUGGAGUGGACAUGGGUCCAACAGCUUCACUUUGAUCUCCCGCCUGUGGGGGGCGCUGUGAGAGCUGAGACAGACAGACAGGUGACAGAGCCGCGAGGACGACACCUCGACCUCCAGCGGCGAAACGUGACGUCAGGAGGUCGUGACCUGAUGAUGCUGCUGGUCACUCCGGGUCCCAGCGGAGAGCUUCCUGUCUGGGCUCCACUCUGCUGUUGGAGGCUGCAGGAAGAACAGACACAGAAGAGACAUUCAGGAUCUUACCUUCACAGGUUCCUUCAUCGUCCGCCUGUCUGCAAACAAAGGAACAUCAGAGGAAGAGAUCGCCUAAUAUAACAUAAUAUACUAUAACACCGGUGUUACCGUGACACCUGCUGGAACUCUUACCGGGCUGACCGUCUGUC